rnacentral:rRNA from 1 species
GUCCACGCCCUAACGAUGAUGACUAGUUGUUGGAGGAGUUAAAUCCUUUAGUAACGCAGCUAACGCGAGAAGUCAUCCGCCUGGGGAGUACGGUCGCAAGAUUAAAACUCAAAGGAAUUGACGGGGCCCGCACAAGCGGUGGAUGAUGUGGUUUAAUUCGACGCAACGCGAAAACCUUACCUGGGCUCGAAAUGUAGAGGACGACAUCAGAGAUGAUGUUUCUCGAAAGGGUCUCUAUAUAGGUGCUGCAUGGCUGUCGU